UGGGGAAUAUUGCACAAUGGGGGAAACCCUGAUGCAGCGACGCCGCGUGAACGAAGAAGGUAUUCGUAUCGUAAAGUUCUGUCCUAUGGGAAGAUAAUGACAGUACCAUAGAAGAAAGCUCCGGCUAAAUACGUGCCAGCAGCCGCGGUAAUACGUAUGGAGCGAGCGUUGUCCGGAAUUAUUGGGCGUAAAGGGUACGCAGGCGGUUUAAUAAGUCGAAUGUUAAAGAUCGGGGCUCAACCCCGUAAAGCAUUGGAAACUGAUAAACUUGAGGAGUGGAGAGGAAAGUGGAAUUCCUAGUGUAGUGGUGAAAUACGUAGAUAUUAGGAGGAAUACCAGUAGCGAAGGCGACUUUCUGGACACAAACUGACGCUGAGGUACGAAAGCGUGGGGAGCAAACAGG
rnacentral:rRNA from 2 species